UCUAUACCAUUCCAGACAAAUGGCCAUCCAGUCUCUUCUUAAAAGCCUCCAGUGAUGGAGCACCCACAACUUCUAGAGGCAAGCCUUUCCACUAAUUGUUUUCACUGUUAGUAAAUUUUGCUCCUUAAAUCUACUAAAAUUUUCAAAUUCAGUGAAAGUAAAUAGAAUUGAAGGCAAACUAAUAUAUAAUGGGAAUCCAUUCUCUCUAAGGAAAAAAAAUGCUCCUGAGCUUCAGCUUCUCCCAUCGUGACUGAGUACCUGAGCUCAUUCCAAUGGACAGAUAUGGCCCUGUAGAAAACUGGGCAUUAAUCCAUAAAGGAAGCUAACAGAUUGUGACAGCAGGGAGAAUAUUUUUUGCACAAUACUGGAAGAAUGAAGGACUGCCAUCGGAG